UACGUAGGGUGCAAGCGUUAAUCGGAAUUACGGGGCGUAAAGCGUGCGCAGGCGGUUUUGUAAGGCUGAUGUGAAAUCCCCGGGCUCAACCUGGGAAUUGCAUUGGAGACUGCAAGGCUAGAAUCUGGCAGAGGGGGGUAGAAUUCCACGUGUAGCAGUGAAAUGCGUAGAGAUGUGGAGGAACACCGAUGGCGAAGGCAGCCCCCUGGGUCAAGAUUGACGCUCAUGCACGAAAGCGUGGGGAGCAAACAGG
rnacentral:rRNA from 1 species